rnacentral:misc_RNA from 1 species
GAUGAAGAACGCAGCGAAGUGCGAUAAGUAAUGUGAAUUGCAGAAUUCCGUGAAUCAUCGAAUCUUUGAACGCAUAUUGCACUUUCUGGUAUUCCGGAAAGUAUGCCUGUUUGAGGGUCAGUUUAAAUAAAAAUCGGUGUUGUUACUGCCUUUCGUGGUGACGCGUCGGAAUUGAGUCGUCUUAUCUUCGGUUAAGUGACUUAAAAUUUUGUAUGAUUUUCGAACGUAUUUAAAUUGUUUACGUACGUUUGAGAUAUCGAAUAUUUUAUUAGGUUCGGUCAUCCUCAUGACUCGCGCCUAUAAUUUUUUCAUUAAAUGACCUCAAAUCAGGUAAGAAUACCCGCUGAACUUAAGCAUAUCAAUAAGCGGAGGA